rnacentral:rRNA from 1 species
AACGAACGCUGGCGGCGUGGAUAAGACAUGCAAGUCGAGCGCUGAUCGCGGGGUAGCAAUAUUCCGAGGUCGGAGCGGCGCAAGGGUGCGUAACAUGUGGGUAAUUUGCCGUGAAGUUGGGGAUAACUUGCUGAAAGGCGAGCUAAUACCGAAUGUGACGGCCGGAGGGCAUCCUCUGGUUUUCAAAGUUGGGGACCGCAAGGCCUGACGCUUCAUGAUAAGCCCGCAACCUAUCAGCUAGUUGGUGAGGUAACGGCUCACCAAGGCUAAGACGGGUAGCUGGUCUGAGAGGACGACCAGCCACACUGGAACUGAGACACGGUCCAGACACCUACGGGUGCAGCAGUCGAGUAAUUUUUCUCAAUGGGCGAAAGCCUGAAGGAGCGACGCC